UACAGAGGGGGCAAGCGUUGUUCGGAAUCACUGGGCGUAAAGGGCGCGUAGGCGGCCGCCUAAGUCAGACGUGAAAUCCCUCGGCUCAACCGGGGAACUGCGUCUGAUACUGGGUGGCUUGAAUUCGGGAGAGGGAUGUGGAAUUCCAGGUGUAGCGGUGAAAUGCGUAGAUAUCUGGAGGAACACCGGUGGCGAAGGCGACAUCCUGGACCGGCAUUGACGCUGAGGCGCGAAAGCCAGGGGAGCAAACGGG
rnacentral:rRNA from 1 species